AAAGGAAUAGACGGGGGCCCGCACAAGCGGAGGAACAUGUGGUUUAAUUCGAUGAUACGCGAGGAACCUUACCCGGGCUUGAAAUGUACAUGAAUAAUCUGGAAACAGGUUAGCCAGCAAUGGCAUGUAUGUAGGUGCUGCAUGGUUGUCGUCAGCUCGUGCCGUGAGGUGUCGGCUUAAGUGCCAUAACGAGCGCAACCCUUACCGAUAGUUACUAACAGGUUAAGCUGAGGACUCUAUUGGGACUGCCUUCGUAAGGAGUGAGGAAGGAGAGGAUGACGUCAAAUCAGCACGGCCCUUACGUCCGGGGCGACACACGUGUUACAAUGGGUGGUACAAAGGGCAGCUACCGGGCGACCGGAUGCUAAUCUCUAAAUCCACUCCCAGUUCGGAUUGGAGUCUGCAACUCGACUCCAUGAAGCUGGAUUCGCUAGUAAUCGCGCAUCAGCCAUGGCGCGGUGAAUACGUUCCCGGGCCUUGUACACACCGCCCGU
rnacentral:rRNA from 1 species